rnacentral:rRNA from 1 species
UACAGAGGUCCCAAGCGUUGUUCGGAUUCAUUGGGCGUAAAGGGUGCGUAGGCGGCGCGGUAAGUCGGGUGUGAAAUCUCGGGGCUUAACUCCGAAACUGCAUUCGAUACUGCCGUGCUUGAGGACUGGAGAGGAGACUGGAAUUUACGGUGUAGCGGUGAAAUGCGUAGAUAUCGGGAGGAACACCGGUGGCGAAGGCGGCCUUCUGGACGGAUACUGACGCUGAGACGCGAAAGCGUGGGGAGCAAACAGG